UGUCAGCAUCUAGGAACAGACCUCUUUGCCACCACCAUUAAUAAAUACGGUAAAUGGAUUAAAAGCUUGUUUACACUUUUAGGAGAAUUAAAUAUGACAGAAAUAUAACACUUGUGAGGGUGAUGGAACUGAUGAGUUCCAGGUAAAGUGAAAACACGAAGACAUUGCACAGUAUUUUAAUGCUUCUCUGUGUACAGCUAUGAUGUAUAUAUGUAUGGAUAACAGUCAGCAUAUACAGUAUGGAGGACUAGACAGCAAGUAGACGGACCAACGGAAAAACUGGACACAUUAGCUUGGACUUUCAGAAUGGCUGGAUUUAAUGUCAGUAAGAUUUCAACUGGUUUAAA